rnacentral:rRNA from 1 species
CCAAUAGCGUAUAUUAAAGUUGUUGCAGUUAAAAAGCUCGUAGUUGAAUUUCGGGGUUCAUACGUUGGUCGGGCUAUUUGGUCUGUACUUAUGUAAUGGAUUCCUACCUUCUGAAUAACCGGCAUGCCAUUAAUUUGGUGCGCCGGGGAAGCAGGACUGUUACCUUGAAAAAAUUAGAGUGCUUAAAGCAGGCUAUCGCCUGAAUACAUUAGCAUGGAAUAAUGAAAUAGGACGGCAUGGUUCUAUUUUGUUGGUUUCUAGGAUCACCGUAAUGGUUAAUAGGGAUAGUUGGGGGCAUUAGUAUUCAAUUGUCAGAGGUGAAAUUCUUGGAUUUAUUGAAGACUAACUUCUGCGAAAGCAUUUGCCAAGGAUGUUUUCAUUAAUCAAGAACGAAAGUUAGGGGAUCGAAGACGAUCAGAUACCGUCGUAGUCUUAACCAUAAACUAUGCCGACUAGGGAUCGGACGAUGUUAAUUUUUUAAUGACUCAUUCGGCGCCUUACG